UAGCAAGUGGCGGACGGGUGAGUAACGCGUGGGUAACCUACCUUAUGCAGGGGGAUAACGUUUGGAAACGAACGCUAAUACCGCAUAAACUAUGGAAUAUCGCAUGAUAUUUAUAGUAAAGAUUUUAUCGGCAUAAGAUGGACCCGCGUUGGAUUAGCUAGUUGGUGAGAUAACAGCCCACCAAGGCAACGAUCCAUAGCCGGCCUGAGAGGGUGAACGGCCACAUUGGGACUGAGACACGGCCCAA
rnacentral:rRNA from 1 species